CGUGCAUGCCCACUAGGGCGUGUCACACUCAGAAGCGCGAAACUCAACCGACCCCGCCCCUACCCCACCCACUCCUCACCCAGCAUCCAUAAAAGCAUGCUGCACCUUUGGCACAGCGCGACUUCCCUGGCCCUCCCCCUGCGGACCAGUGAACCUCGCCCGAGGGCUCAAUAAAGAAGAUUUUUGCCCUCUUUUUCUCACCUCUCAGCCUUAUUGAUCCAUGGUGCCCUUCCAUUGCCUUUCAUUGGUGCCGAAACCCGGGAGGGGACACCUCCUAAGCCCCCCCAGAGGCUCAGGGGGACUCCCCUCCUGGUCGGAUCAGUCCUCUCCCUCAGUCAGGUCAGGCUUCUCCUCCACGGCCAUCUGUCCAUUUCGUCCGGUUACUUGCUGCCAGGUCGCAGUUGCUGCAGCUACUCCAGUCCAAUUCGGCCGACGCUAGUUGCCUGGCUGCAAUAUACCUUGGACAACCAAUCUCGCUGGCCCCCCAAAGGCACACUCGACUUCAAUAUCCUAAACGACCUUACCAAUUUUUGUCAGAGGCGAGGCAAAUAGUCAAAAAUCAAAUUUGUUCAAAGGUUCUGGGACCUCCGCUCUCGUCGGACCGCUGCCGCCAAGUGUUUUCGCUGGCACAAGUCCCUGUGGCUAGCCUUCCCCUUGAAGUCUGGCCAGCCUCUCUUGCCGUUAAUCCUGUCCGGGGCCCCCAUCUUAGUCUCUCUGCCGCCAUCUCCUUCUGCACUGCCGCCAUCUUACUACCUGCUUCCUCACUGCCGCCAUCUUACUUCCUUUUUUCUCUGCUGCCAUUUUAGUUCUUCUGCCACCAUUCGGCUGCCAUUUUAAUUCCCAUUAGUUCCCAUUUGUUCUUUUAACCCUGCCCAGCUAACUCCUUGGCUUCCAUCUUACCCGCAUUCUUAUUUCCACCUGCCUAUAGUGCCAUACCAGUCCACUGCAUCUACAACUCCUAACACAUUCGCUGCGGGCAGUGAUAUCCACUAAUCCUGGAUGAGGCAGCGGAGGGCCCCCAAACCCCUAUCCAGGACUUAGUAAAGCUGGCGUUCAAAGUUUUUAAUUCCUGAGAGGAGGCGGCUGAGGUACAACGACAGGCAAGCCUGAAACAAAAAGUUCAGCUCCAAACCCAAGCCCUGGCAGCUGCCCUGCAACCGGCAUUCCCUAAGAGCCGCGGCAGGAGAGGUAGAGGUACAAUCUCCCGGGCCCCGUCUGGCGUCUGCUUCAAGUGAGGCAACUCAGGACACUGGGCCAGCCGGUGCCCUAGCCAACAGCAACCGUCCUGCCCGCCUUGCAACUGUUUCAAGUGUGGCAAUCCAGGUCAUUGGGCAAAACAGUGCCCAAACCCCAAGCCGCCAACACACCCGUGCCCUAACUGCCAACAAAUGGAGCACUGGAGGUCAGACUGCCCCAGCCUCGGAGCGGCCGCUGUGGCUCCACAUGGCGACCCCUCCCUGGAUGGCGAAGGUGCCCUCUAGCUCCUCCAACUGGAUGACGACUGAAGAGGCCCAGGCUCGGGAACCCCUCUCACCCUUGCCGAGCCCAGGGUAAUGCUUCAGGUAGCAGAGACAAAUGAAGACACUCGACCAUCUCUAAAUGCUACCAAACACAUAGAGUCUACUCUGAAUGCAGAUACUGCUCUCAUAAAAAUUCUGCAAAGGAGGAAGGGGUUGGUGCAGAACUGUUCCGAUGCUGAUCAACUGAGAUGCAAAACCCAUGUUCACAUCAUGAGUGAGUCUUCUAACUCGGACAAUGCAAUCAACAAAUUCUAAGACCAAAUUCCGGUGGCACUGGCUCCAAAGCUCCUGAGUGUGGAAGGAGGUGAACAGGGAAAAGCAGAGAGGACAAAAGUCACAUCCCCUCCCCACAGACCCAUACUGGGGAAGGGUGGAAGAUUUAGCUGCGAGUCAAGUUCAGAAUUUUGAUUAACAUCUUGGCAUGCACAUUCGAAUUUCAGAAUCAAGACUGUUGGCCAUAAAAAAUGACUAUAGCCUUGUGUAUUACCUGAACUGAGCAGUAAAAAAAAAGUCAUGGUCCUUCUGGGGCUUUUAUUCUGAGACAGGAACCCUGAACAGGCAGGAGAAAGGGAAUGUUGACAGAGAAACAAAGACAGUUGGCGACACACGCUGACCGCCAUGCGGACGUCCAUCAAACCCAGCACUGGCCCUGGGUACGUGCGCCUUUGCUAUUACCCCAAUACAUUUUCUUCUGCAGAGCAAGCAACAGAACACAUGCAGACCUUAAUAAAUACCACUGGGUAAUGUGACAAUGGCCAAACUCUCCUCACGGGGGAGAGAGUGUCCCCCAGUUUUGCUCCCUUUUAAUUUCCAGGGUUCAUAAGUAGCUCUAAAGCUUUGCUCUACAAGGUUGAUACAUACGAUAUUAAUGUUUCCCCUAAGCAGUAUAACAUAAAUAUAUUUGCUAUCUUGACAUUCUGGGUUUGGUUUUUCAGUGUUGGCGUAAGUGGGUUUUAUACUUUCUGGAACAAGAGUUCAUCACCAAAGGGAAAAUGCUGUCCACCCCACCCUCUUUGAAAGAAAAGGCUCAGCCCAUAGUUCUCCAGAUGAAAGAAAUGUACCUAAUCAGCUAUUUCCUGUUGCUUGAUUGGAUGUUAACAAUGGAGAUAGACACACAGCUAAUUGUGGUGGCACAGCAGGAAGCCUAAUUCACUUUGCUGUAGAAAUGCCCACACAGAGAAAGUGGGAGAUGGCUGCACAAGAGGCCCCAUAGGCAGGCAAAUGCUUACUGCAGUUUCUUUCCCAAACAUUUCCAAAUAGACCAAAUAAACAUGAAUUUGCUCACUGUAGUUUAUAUUCCAAAUAAAAAUGAAUUUCUGGCCAGGCGCGGUGGCUCAUGCCUGUAAUCCAGCACUUUCGGAGGCCAAGGCAGGUGGAUCACAAAGUCAGGAGUUUGAGACCAGCCUGGCCAAUAUGGUGAAACCCCAUCUCUACUUAAAAUACAAAAAUUAGCCUGGCGUGGUGGCAGGUGCCUGUAAUCCCAGCUACUCAAGAGGCUGAGGCUGGAAAAUCACUUGAACCUGGGAAGCAGAGGUUGCAGUGAGCUGAGAGGGUGCCAUUGCACUCUAGCCUGGGUGACAGAGCAAGACUUGGUCUCAAAAAAAAAAAAAAGAAUUUCGCCACGCUCCGCAGACACAGGCAUUCCACACCCUUGUCCAGACUGGUCCCAGGGGAAAGAAUCUCCAGGCUAAAGAGCCGUGGUCUUCCAGGGCCUCUGGCCAGGUAUCUCAAUGUCUUCACCCAUGUGAAUUCUGGACAAGGGCUUCCUACCACAUCCCCAAGUUUGCCCUUCCCCCCAUACCCUGACCUCCAUUUCUCUACUUUACCUCUCCCAGCCCACCAUGGGACCAUGUGAUCAGCCACAUAGGCAUAAACUAGCACACAGCUACCUUAGGGUAGGGCCCUCUAGGGUGGCCAGGUGGCUACCUCACAAAUCAGUCUAUGGCUCUCACAGAAACUAGAAUUUGCUUGGGCAAGAGGUAUCAAGAGCAUUAGAAAUAUUUAUACUUUUUCAUUCAGUAAUGGUAUAAUCUGAAUCUGGGCUGAGAGUCUAAGAAUAUUGAGCUGUGUGAGAAUGCACACAGCUGUUUAUUACAUUUUUUUAAGUAAUGGAAAAAUUGGCUAGAAUUUAAAUAUACACCAGUAGGGUAGAUGUUUAAUAAACUAUGAUUUAUCCAACUUACAGACUACUGGACAGCCAUAAAAUGAUAGUUAGACUAAUUUUUGCCAUGCUUUAUCUUUUAAUAUUCUUACGUAAUUCCAUCUCAUUAUUUCAUCUGGCUUUUAUUAAACAGUAAAUAUAAUACUAACUGUAAUUACAAUACUAACUGUAAUUACCAGUGGUUACUUUAACUACCUUUCUGUGUUUUCCUAAUUUUUAUGAUCACCAUGAAUUUCUGUACUGGGGAAAUAAGCAAACUCUUUAUAAGGUGUUGGGACACGUAAAGGACAUUUUCACAGCACUCUGCAAUGUCCUGGCUCCUUGACUGAAAAAAGAAUGAGUUUGCUCAGGCCUCAGCCUCCUGGAGUCCCAGACUGGAGCCAUUGUGGUUAAUAUCUGUAAGUUUGGUUUUUGUUUUUCUCAGGUGCUCCACUGAAGCUCAUCCACACACACACACAAUACACACUGAUGCUUAUAACACACCUGGCCCUGUGUUAAUAAGUAGCCUGGUAUAAACUUGGGAAGCAGAAAGAAGGAAAAAGACUGCAGCAGCAGGCACAAUGUGGCUGAAACCCCUUCCAGGAGAAGAGAGCGAGCGAGAGGGAGGAUUGAGGACAGAUGCAGAGGGCAGAAAGAACUCUUUACGUCUGGCCAAGUAUGGGGCAGCUACACUGAGUCCUUUCUGCCAGAUGAAGGCAGGGAAUAGUCCCAGUCAAAGCAUUGCUGUGAAGUUUCCCUGGUGACUUCAGAGUUUCUGUGUCUACCACCCCCAGCCUGGUUAACACAGCGCUCUGUAAUAAAGUCUAAAAUUCUAAAUGAUAGCAAAGAGCAGCUUGCAUUAUCUUUUCUCCCUGGAGGAUAAAUAGGACCCCUUGCAUCUAGUUGUUUGUAGGUAAGAAGCUGGCAAGAGUCAAGACAGGUAGGACCCUAUAAAGGUUAGGAAGAAAACCACUGCUUCCUCACACACAGCAUGUCCCCAAGCCAGCCAGCCCUGCCUCCCUUCUAGAACCUGCCCCCGAGCUUCCCUGGAGAAGCCCUUCGCCAAGUCUUCCCAUCAGUGAGUUUCAAUCAUCACUGAGGUCUUGGUUCAAAAGUCACACCCUCAGGAAGUCCUUUCUGAGCUCUCCUAAGUAACGAACCUGAUUCCCCUCCACAUUGCAUCUCCAUCUUGCAAUUUCUUCAGAGCACUCACCGUGUCUUAAAUUAUCUAGUUUGUUUAUCUUAUUUAUUUUGAAGCUCCCCUCUAAAAAUAAGUUUAGUGAGGGCAGAGAACCCCCAGUUCAUGUCCACAUUCCUGGUCUGGCCCAUAAUGGGCACUGAACAAAUAUUUCUUGUAGAGGGUGUGGAUUUUGGCAGCAGAAUGUGCCAUGCACUCAGGCUCUGCUGUGCGUCCUCAAUCCUGGCCUUUAAUAGUGCCUCUGUUUCUCCUGGUCUCAACCCUUGCACUCUCUGAGAGGAGAUUGGCCACUUCAGUUUUCUGUCUUGAAGAUUAUGAUACUACACAGAGGCAGGCUAAGUACUAGGAGACCCAGGAUCUGCUUUCAGUUUUUCUAUAUCUCAUUCUAACUGUUACCAGUGGCAAAUCUGUAUGGGUCUGCAGCAACUCAGUUCUUGCCUCCUCAGAAGAAAGAAUUCAACCAAGGGGCAUAAGGCAGAGUGAGAGACCAAGGCAAGUUUUAGAGCAGGAAAGUUUAUUAAAAAGUUUUAGAGCAGGAACAAAAGAAAGUAAGGUACACUUAGAAGAGAGCCAAGCAGGUGACUUGAGAGAUUCAAGUGUGCUGUUUGAUCUUUAACUUGAAGUUUUAUGUAUUGAGAUGCUUCUGGGGUUGUGUUACUUCUCCCCGUUACUUCUUUUGGGGUAGGCUGUCUGCAUGCUCAGUGGCCUGCCAGCACUUGGGAGGGGCUGCAAGCACAGUGUGUUUGCUGAAGUUGUACACAGGCUUAGUUGAGGCAUUUUUCUCAUACCAGUCAGGCGUUCCUAGAAGAAGGUCAUUUACCUGUUAACACUGCCAUUCAGCUCUUAGUGUGCAUGCUUGAGCCCACUCACCCAACUCCUGAGAUCUUAUUGGGAAGCUGCUGGUCAUCAACUUCAGUUGUUUUUCAUCUAUUGGGAGAUACUGUUCCCUGGCACCAGCUGCAGCCAAUUAUUAUUUUAGCAAGACAGAUAACAACCACCUGACCAUAACCUGAUAGUCACCUGACAUUCCUGGGUUGGGCAGGGACCUCUCCUGCCCUGCUCAUGUCUGCCUAACUACCUACUCUAACAUUUCCCCCCUCAAGAGUUCAAGACCCAAUUUGUUGGGAAAGGUCAGUCUUUUGUAACUGCUUCCUGCUGACAGAGAGGUGGUGGUGGUUGUUCUGUGGGUCUUAUUCUCUUGCUAGCUGUUAGGGCAUGGUUGCUUCGUGGGUUAGUGAAAGCAGUAUCCAGCCAGGUCCGAGAGAGACAGGGGCAGGAUUUUGCCUCUGUCGUGUCCCACAGAUGGGCAGUUGAGGGGUCCUCUGUAGAAGUGUGACUCAAAUAUUGAGAGGAUAUUAUCCCUCACUGAGGAUCAUCUGGUGAUUGAUGGCCCAUCCCUCUUGUUUCUUCUGAGCCUCAGCCAUGGAUCACUGGUUGGUUCACAGGAAUAAGCAGAGUCAGUCUAACUUGCAGAGGAAAAAAACUCAAAAACAACUGAUGAGACUAGAAUCAAAUUACAGGUGUACCACAAUUCUCAAGACAUAAUUUUUCUCUUUGCAGUCCUCAUUCUUAUUAAAAACAAAUUAUCACAGGACUGAUUUGUUUCCAAAAUAAACUUCAGUCAUGUUAUACUUGGCCUGUUAUUUGCAUAAAGCACAGCAAGAAUAAUUAUUUGUUACAUAGGUUCCUUUUUAAAUUGGCUUUGAUGGAACUUUGUUCCAUAAGGAAUCUUGGAUAAAACUUUUAAAAGUCUUGAGCCCAGGCAUGGGAUUGUGCCACCAAAUAACUGUAUGAGUUGGAUGAAUUCCUCCCUCUUGAGGUCCCAAGACAACUUGGGGCCCCUGGGCCUGUCAGAACGUGACAUUCUUUACUUACCACAGGUGAGAAAGCCUGCACAGGGAUUGUGUAGACAAGAUGUGGGUCCACUUUUCCCAAGGGGAUUUUAUUGGCUCUCUAAGUUAACAUUGAUUUCUUAAAGGAGUCUGUUUGUAUCCGAAAGCAUGUCAUUCAUUCAAAGCCUUGGGGAAAAUAACCAGUGUCUCCAAUUUUGUCCUGUUACAAAAGAAAACAGCAUGUUAAAGCUAUGUGUAUCAGUUUAUAUGUUUAGUUGUGAGAAGGCCAAUAUUCAUAUCACCUAGCUUUACAAGAAAUGCAGGCCUGAAGAUGAAAAGCAACACAAUUGCUUACAGUUUCUCAGAUCACAAAGCCUUUUAAUCUUACAAAAUAUAAAUCAAUAGAUGAGAAAGAAAAAAACAGAUUAUUGCACUUAUUCAAAUAACUAUACUGAUGUAAGUUAUGAGCACUCACAAAUAAGUUCCAAAUAUUGGAGAAAUCCAGGAGAGAUAAAUGUGCUCCUAAUUUUGUUUAUAGUACACUUUAUUCAAUUGUUAAAAGCUGAAAAGUUUUCUUGGCUUGGAAAAACAAACAAAGGAUUAGCAACAUUUUAAGCAAAAAGUCAUAAAAGUAUUAUUUUAGUCUUAGUUCAGUCCAUGCAAUUAAUUCCUCUUCUCCUUGAUAUUCAUCAAUAUUUUAGCUCUCUGUGAGAGUCCUGAAAAGUUUUCCUCUAUUAUAAUGUCACAAUCUCCAAAGUUAUCAGAAACCUGCAUUUAAGAGCACCUAUUAGAGUCCUAUAGCUGAUUAUAAAACUACAUUUUAAAGGGCAUUGAAACAAAAUAACAAUUGUGGAUGACUAAAUGUCUUUGGACAGCCACAGUUGAAGACACAAUUGACAAGGAAAUUUGUUACCUCUGUGGCACACAAUAAUUUAACAUGACAAUUAUAAUUAUUACUGUAUAGUAAGUCAAACUAGAAUUAUAGGAGUUUUGCAUAAUUUUGAAACACACUGCAAUAACACAUUUAUGCAAAUACAGUCCAAGUAAAGCCAAAUUUUACCUUUGCCUUAGUGUACUAUUGAUGUCAAAUGCAAUUCUUAAUAAAACCUUAUAGAAAAAUUUAUCUAAUGUUAAUCAGUUUGACCAUAAGGUAAGAUUUUCAUUAACCUUUUAUAACCCUUUACAAUUUUCUGUUAAAAAACAGUGCUUUAAGUGCUUUAAGAAAACUGUGCUUUGCUUUUAUUUUAUUAAACUGAAUAAUACGCCUUUAAUUGUAGCCAAUAUAUGCCUAUACAGAAUUUCUUUUACAAGAUUAAUCUUUCACAAACCUUCCAGAACUUGCUUAAACCUUCAGUUUUAUGCUUUCUAACUUC
rnacentral:lncRNA from 1 species